CUGUGAUGGUGCCAUUGCACUCCAGCCUGGGCAACAAGAGUGAAACUCCAUCUCAAAUAAUAAUAAUUAUAAUGGGGCAGGGAAAUGUACUUGGGGGAAGCUUGCAGUUGUCUAGUGCUUUCUGCACCUGGGUCGAUGGGUCUGUAAAGUUUUGGGUAUGGAGUAUCAGGAAACCCAUUGCUACCAUAUAUUAGCCCACAAUCUUCAAAAUCAACUUUAUUGGUAAUAAAGGCAUUACUUGAUUCUAUCUGCUUGCUUUUUUGUUUUGUCUCAGUUUAUUCUGAAUUUGGAGAAGGUAUUGAGCUGCUUCAAACACCAGCAUAGCAGCCAGAGACAGGCAUUCUUGGAAGAGAAAAUGGGCCCAGGAGACAGCAGUGGUGGAGCAGUUUUUCAUGGCCACACAGCUCGAAGUCUGCAGAUUUGGGUACCCCACCUGGGAAAAUUGGAUGACUGAAUAAUCUCAAGAUAUGACAGCUGGCUUUCCCCAGAGCAAGCGAUUGAAGAGAGAGCAAGGUAGGACUUACUACUUUUAUUAUGACUUAGAUUCAAAAGUCAGACAUUUGACAAUUUUGCUAGAUUACAUAGGUCAGGUCAGCUUUAUUCAGUGGGGGAGGAGGCCAUCUGGAGACCUUACCAUCAGAAAGUAAAAAUCACUGGUGGCCAUUGCGAAGGCUGAUCCCCAGAUCUUCUAGAACAAACUGGAGAGAGUCAAGCUUUCUGCAGCAGAGAGCACUGGAGGUGAGUCUGGCAGACUGAGUUUAUAAAGCAAAGUAGGGCAGAAGAAUGUUGCAAACAAAGGCAUCAUCACAUGCAAAGCCAUGGGAAAGUGAAAGAGCAAUGAGAAGUAGUGGGGUAUCACUCUGUUGUAGGAUUUGGAGUUUAGAGAUAGGAAGUUGCUGCUGGAUGAAUUCAGUGAGAAAUAGUGUUGUAAGGCUGGAUAAAUCACCAAAGGUAAAGUCAUAAAGAACCUUGCUUGGCAUUUUUCUUUUUACAGGAUAAGGGCAAUCAUAGACAGACUGUAAUUAUUCUUAGUACCUGCAUCUCAAAAGGAAGGCAUCCAAAUCCAGUGCACUUUUUGCAGUGUUAAUUUCCAAUUCUUCUUUGUGGAGUCAAUCACUUUCUGUAUGCAUUUCCUGGCUUCUUCUCUUCUCUUUCUUCAGUUCCUUUCUCCUUAAACACAUUUGAAGCAUAAGGGCAUGGCCAGUGUGAACUGAGAGGCUAAUGUUCCACGUUUCCCCAGUCAUGAUGGCAAAUGCCCUGUGUGGACCUGCUGGCUUGCUGUGGGUGUUGUAGGGACUCUGGCCAGAGACACACGGAAUGAUAUCAGCUUCAGUCAGUGACAGCACUUGAGUCAAGGGACAUCAUUUUGAAAGGACAUUUUAUUCAUGUGUCAGCAUGGCAGAUCAUCUGGGGAUGCUGUCUUUUCAGCUGUCCUCAUAAACAAGGAAAAUAAUGCUGUCAAUAUUAGCAUUUUCAAAGGUAAUGGACAGCAGUGUAUCUGUCUACAUAUCUCAAGAUAUAUAUACACACACACACAUAUAUAUGUACACACACACACACAUAUAUCAAUCAGUUAGGCCUGGGACACUGGAUUAGGAAACAUUAUCUGUCUCUUUCAGGAAUGAAAGCAAUCCAUUAAAGUCAAUUUCCAAUUUUCUAUAGAAGGAGUAGGAAUAAGACAGAAAAUAAAAAUCCUUAUAUAAUCAUCCAACCUUAUUUUUAUUACUAUUGUCAUAUUCUUUUCUGGAAACACCUUAGAGGUGUUAGUAAGUCUGCUUGCAAGUAACAAAUUGCCUAAUUUUAGUCCCACUAACUCAUUCAAUUGCCUUGUCAAUUUACUUUCUCUCUCUCUUUUUUUUUUUUUUUUUGAGACGGAGUUUUGCCCUUGUCUUC